UACAAAUAUUUAGAAUAAAAAUGCAAAAUAGUUUAAACAAUACUUGGUGGUGGAACAACUUACGUCAGUCGUCGUGAGCAGUACCAGCUAUGUAGUAGUUUAAAACCAUAAUAUACUCAAAAAGGCUUGUC
rfam:Flavobacterium columnare ATCC 49512, complete genome.